rnacentral:tRNA from 1 species
CAGAAAAUAGUUUAUAAAAAUUUUAAUUUUGGAGAUUAAAGAUAAAGAGAAUUCUUUUUUUCUGA